CGCGACUCAUGGGUUAAUUUAAAGACACGGGUGAAAGAUCCGAGUGAAUCAUGACUUAAACACCUUUAAUGACGACAGCGCUCAGCUGUGUCGGAGGAAGAUUACUGGCAGUCUGGAGCACUGAAAGCACAGAACAGUUGGGCGAUCCUGCAGAUCAGCAGAUGGGGGUCUGCAAAAUGAAGACACUGCGAGGGAGUCAUACUGGAAGGCCAUGCAAGAUCUCCAUGUAGACUUUCACAUUACAGCAUCAGGACUCAUGAUCAACCCUGACCUACCGUGGAUUGGAGCAUCGCCAGAUGGUGUGGUGACAUAUUGACCAUGGAGAUGACUGAGGAAGACAGCCUGAAU